rfam:Schistocephalus solidus strain NST_G2 genome assembly, scaffold: SSLN_scaffold0002080
GCCUCGGUAGCGCAGUUGGUUAGCGCGUCAGUCUCAUAAUCUGAAGGCCGUGAGUUCGAACCUCACCCGGGGCA